CCCCGAGGAAAAGAAAUCAACCGAGAUUCCCCCAGUAGCGGCGAGCGAACGGGGAGCAGCCCAGAGCCUGAAUCAGUGUGUGUGUUAGUGGAAGCGUCUGGAAAGGCGCGCGAUACAGGGUGACAGCCCCGUACACAAAAAUGCACAUACUGUGAGCUCGAUGAGUAGGGCGGGACACGUGGUAUCCUGUCUGAAUAUGGGGGGACCAUCCUCCAAGGCUAAAUACUCCUGACUGACCGAUAGUGAACCAGUACCGUGAGGGAAAGGCGAAAAGAACCCCGGCGAGGGGAGUGAAAAAGAACCUGAAACCGUGUACGUACAAGCAGUGGGAGCACGCUUAGGCGUGUGACUGCGUACCUUUUGUAUAAUGGGUCAGCGACUUAUAUUCUGUAGCAAGGUUAACCGAAUAGGGGAGCCGAAGGGAAACCGAGUCUUAACUGGGCGUUAAGUUGCAGGGUAUAGACCCGAAACCCGGUGAUCUAGCCAUGGGCAGGUUGAAGGUUGGGUAACACUAACUGGAGGACCGAACCGACUAAUGUUGAAAAAUUAGCGGAUGACUUGUGGCUGGGGGUGAAAGGCCAAUCAAACCGGGAGAUAGCUGGUUCUCCCCGAAAGCUAUUUAGGUAGCGCCUCGUGAAUUCAUCUCCGGGGGUAGAGCACUGUUUCGGCAAGGGGGUCAUCCCGACUUACCAACCCGAUGCAAACUGCGAAUACCGGAGAAUGUUAUCACGGGAGACACACGGCGGGUGCUAACGUCCGUCGUGAAGAGGGAAACAACCCAGACCGCCAGCUAAGGUCCCAAAGUCAUGGUUAAGUGGGAAACGAUGUGGGAAGGCCCAGACAGCCAGGAUGUUGGCUUAGAAGCAGCCAUCAUUUAAAGAAAGCGUAAUAGCUCACUGGUCGAGUCGGCCUGCGCGGAAGAUGUAACGGGGCUAAACCAUGCACCGAAGCUGCGGCAGCGACGCUUAUGCGUUGUUGGGUAGGGGAGCGUUCUGUAAGCCUGUGAAGGUGUGCUGUGAGGCAUGCUGGAGGUAUCAGAAGUGCGAAUGCUGACAUAAGUAACGAUAAAGCGGGUGAAAAGCCCGCUCGCCGGAAGACCAAGGGUUCCUGUCCAACGUUAAUCGGGGCAGGGUGAGUCGACCCCUAAGGCGAGGCCGAAAGGCGUAGUCGAUGGGAAACAGGUUAAUAUUCCUGUACUUGGUGUUACUGCGAAGGGGGGACGGAGAAGGCUAUGUUGGCCGGGCGACGGUUGUCCCGGUUUAAGCGUGUAGGCUGGUUUUCCAGGCAAAUCCGGAAAAUCAAGGCUGAGGCGUGAUGACGAGGCACUACGGUGCUGAAGCAACAAAUGCCCUGCUUCCAGGAAAAGCCUCUAAGCAUCAGGUAACAUCAAAUCGUACCCCAAACCGACACAGGUGGUCAGGUAGAGAAUACCAAGGCGCUUGAGAGAACUCGGGUGAAGGAACUAGGCAAAAUGGUGCCGUAACUUCGGGAGAAGGCACGCUGAUAUGUAGGUGAAGUCCCUCGCGGAUGGAGCUGAAAUCAGUCGAAGAUACCAGCUGGCUGCAACUGUUUAUUAAAAACACAGCACUGUGCAAACACGAAAGUGGACGUAUACGGUGUGACGCCUGCCCGGUGCCGGAAGGUUAAUUGAUGGGGUCAGCGCAAGCGAAGCUCUUGAUCGAAGCCCCGGUAAACGGCGGCCGUAACUAUAACGGUCCUAAGGUAGCGAAAUUCCUUGUCGGGUAAGUUCCGACCUGCACGAAUGGCGUAAUGAUGGCCAGGCUGUCUCCACCCGAGACUCAGUGAAAUUGAACUCGCUGUGAAGAUGCAGUGUACCCGCGGCAAGACGGAAAGACCCCGUGAACCUUUACUAUAGCUUGACACUGAACAUUGAGCCUUGAUGUGUAGGAUAGGUGGGAGGCUUAGAAGUGUGGACGCCAGUCUGCAUGGAGCCGACCUUGAAAUACCACCCUUUAAUGUUUGAUGUUCUAACGUUGACCCGUAAUCCGGGUUGCGGACAGUGUCUGGUGGGUAGUUUGACUGGGGCGGUCUCCUCCUAAAGAGUAACGGAGGAGCACGAAGGUUGGCUAAUCCUGGUCGGACAUCAGGAGGUUAGUGCAAUGGCAUAAGCCAGCUUGACUGCGAGCGUGACGGCGCGAGCAGGUGCGAAAGCAGGUCAUAGUGAUCCGGUGGUUCUGAAUGGAAGGGCCAUCGCUCAACGGAUAAAAGGUACUCCGGGGAUAACAGGCUGAUACCGCCCAAGAGUUCAUAUCGACGGCGGUGUUUGGCACCUCGAUGUCGGCUCAUCACAUCCUGGGGCUGAAGUAGGUCCCAAGGGUAUGGCUGUUCGCCAUUUAAAGUGGUACGCGAGCUGGGUUUAGAACGUCGUGAGACAGUUCGGUCCCUAUCUGCCGUGGGCGCUGGAGAACUGAGGGGGGCUGCUCCUAGUACGAGAGGACCGGAGUGGACGCAUCACUGGUGUUCGGGUUGUCAUGCCAAUGGCACUGCCCGGUAGCUAAAUGCGGAAGAGAUAAGUGCUGAAAGCAUCUAAGCACGAAACUUGCC
rnacentral:rRNA from 1 species